GUAUCAAAGGAUUUACAAGUUUUAAAUAUUGAUGCGGACUUAGUGCUUAACAAAGCUAAAUAACCAAAAAUGAUCCAUAUAACUAACCCUAACUAAUUGGGGAUUAAGGCUUAGAUGUUGAUGUUGUUUGCUUAUGUUUAUAGAACUUUGAUGACUAUUUCAUAUUGCUUUUUUAUUGCCUUCAUUAUAGAAAGAGUUAUCCUUCAACCAGGGAAGCUGUACUGCUUUACAUUUAAAUGGAACUGCGCAUUAAUUUUGCAUGAAAUAAUCCAUUCCCUUCCCCUCAACUAAAAAAAAGGGAAUUAUGACAUAUUACUGAAGAUCAUGAAGUAGGUAUGAAUUUGAGUUUUAUUUUGAUCACUGCAUGUCUGCAUCCAUGUGUUUUUGGCUUUAUAUCUUCAGUGUCAGAUAAUUUGAUUAGUUUAUGGAACAUUAGAAAAUGAGUUUUGAGGUGUAACAAGCCUAUUCUUGAUCAGCGUGAUGUAGCAGUUUCAGACCCAAAUGGAUUUCAGGUUCUAAGCUGUUUGAACUUCUUCUUGAGCCUACUAGUAGCAUGAGUGAGGUUAAUGGCAUAAGCUGUCUUUCAAAGUACUAAUU
rnacentral:misc_RNA from 1 species